UGUUAAACGGUUUUUGUCUCUCCCCUGC
rnacentral:piRNA from 1 species